AAUCAACGCUGGCGGCGCGCCUAACACAUGCAAGUCGCACGAGAAAAGGGCAACCUGAGUAAAGUGGCGCACGGGUGAGUAACACGUGGGUAAUCUACCUAAUGGUGGGGAAUAACCCUGGGAAACCGGGGCGUAAUACCGCAUAAGCCCGCAAGGGGAAAGGACGAGCAAUGCGCCGAUAGAGGAGCCCGCGGCCGAUUAGCUAGUUGGUGAGGUAAUGGCUCACCAAGGCUACGAUCGGUAGCCGGCCUGAGAGGGCAC
rnacentral:rRNA from 1 species